CGAGCACCUACGGGUGUGAAGUCAUUGAUGCCAUGCUUCCAGGAAAAGCCUCUAAGCUUCAGAUUGUAAGGAAUCGUACCCCAAACCGACACAGGUGGUCGGGUAGAGAAUACCAAGGCGCUUGAGAGAACUCGGGUGAAGGAACUAGGCAAAAUGGUACCGUAACUUCGGGAGAAGGUACGCUCUUGAUGGUGAAGUCCCUUGCGGAUGGAGCUGACGAGAGUCGCAGAUACCAGGUGGCUGCAACUGUUUAUUAAAAACACAGCACUGUGCAAAAUCGUAAGAUGACGUAUACGGUGUGACGCCUGCCCGGUGCCGGAAGGUUAAUUGAUGGGGUUAGACUUCGGUCGAAGCUCUUGAUCGAAGCCCCGGUAAACGGCGGCCGUAACUAUAACGGUCCUAAGGUAGCGAAAUUCCUUGUCGGGUAAGUUCCGACCUGCACGAAUGGCGUAAUGAUGGCCACGCUGUCUCCACCCGAGACUCAGUGAAAUUGAAAUCGCUGUGAAGAUGCAGUGUACCCGCGGCUAGACGGAAAGACCCCGUGAACCUUUACUACAGCUUGGCACUGAACAUUGACCCUACAUGUGUAGGAUAGGUGGGAGGCUUUGAAGCACGUACGCCAGUAUGUGUGGAGCCGUCCUUGAAAUACCACCCUUGUAGUGUUGAUGUUCUAACGUCGACCCCUAAUCGGGGUUGCGGACAGUGCCUGGUGGGUAGUUUGACUGGGGCGGUCUCCUCCCAAAGAGUAACGGAGGAGCACGAAGGUGGGCUAAUCACGGUUGGACAUCGUGAGGUUAGUGCAAUGGCAUAAGCCCGCUUGACUGCGAGAAUGACAAUUCGAGCAGGUGCGAAAGCAGGUCAUAGUGAUCCGGUGGUUCUGAAUGGAAGGGCCAUCGCUCAACGGAUAAAAGGUACUCCGGGGAUAACAGGCUGAUACCGCCCAAGAGUUCAUAUCGACGGCGGUGUUUGGCACCUCGAUGUCGGCUCAUCACAUCCUGGGGCUGAAGUCGGUCCCAAGGGUAUGGCUGUUCGCCAUUUAAAGUGGUACGCGAGCUGGGUUUAGAACGUCGUGAGACAGUUCGGUCCCUAUCUGCCGUGGGCGUUGGAAGAUUGAAGGGGGCUGCUCCUAGUACGAGAGGACCGGAGUGGACGAACCUCUGGUGUUCGGGUUGUGUCGCCAGACGCAUUGCCCGGUAGCUAAGUUCGGAAUCGAUAACCGCUGAAAGCAUCUAAGCGGGAAGCGAGCCCUGAGAUGAGUCUUCCCUGAUACUUUAAGUAUCCUAAAGGGUUGUCGGAGACUACGACGUUGAUAGGUCAGGUGUGUAAGUGCUGUGAGGCAUUGAGCUAACUGAUACUAAUUGCCCGUGAGGCUUAACCAU
rnacentral:rRNA from 1 species